UACGAAGGGGGCUAGCGUUGUUCGGAUUUACUGGGCGUAAAGCGCACGUAGGCGGAUCUUUAAGUCAGAGGUGAAAUCCCAAGGCUCAACCUUGGAACCGCCUUUGAUACUGGGGAUCUUGAGUCCGGGAGAGGUGAGUGGAACUGCGAGUGUAGAGGUGAAAUUCGUAGAUAUUCGCAAGAACACCAGUGGCGAAGGCGGCUCACUGGCCCGGUACUGACGCUGAGGUGCGAAAGCGUGGGGAGCAAACAGG
rnacentral:rRNA from 1 species